GGCCCGGAGAGUUGCUACGAUAUCCAGAAGGAAUCUGAUUCAGCAUCAUGUCAAUUCUGCUCAUCUGACCUGCAAGAGACCAACAGAAUCAGUUGGAGUUUGGAUUGGAGUUAUGCUUUAAGGACUUCUCUGAAGGCAGAUUUGAGAGUGUGUGGGUCUCCCAGAGGAUGGCAUGGUAAACCUCCCACUCCAAGUGUGGUUUCAAUCUCGCCAUGUGGACUGAAUCCAGGCUCCAGCAGCAACCCAGCCCUCUCUAUGGAUAGUAUCCUGUUUCCUGUUCAUAAACCACAAAAUGAGUGGGGAGGACUUACUUGCAGGCCAGGCUGGCCGGGGUCUCCAGGAUCUCCCUUUGGUCCCGGUCGACCCUGGAGGUGGAAGAAGAGGUUUGCAAAAGAAGCUUUGGACUUUGUUUCAUCCUAUUUAGUCUGUGCUUGUGAUUGAUUUCAUGUUUUGACAAGAACAUCUGCAGGUAAGAAAAUAAAGAAGCUGGACAGAA